rnacentral:rRNA from 1 species
UACGGAGGGAGCUAGCGUUGUUCGGAAUUACUGGGCGUAAAGCGCACGUAGGCGGCUUUGUAAGUUAGAGGUGAAAGCCCGGGGCUCAACUCCGGAACUGCCUUUAAGACUGCAUCGCUUGAAUCCAGGAGAGGUGAGUGGAAUUCCGAGUGUAGAGGUGAAGUUCGUAGAUAUCGGGAGGAACACCGGUGGCGAAGGCGGCGACCUGGGUAGAUACUGACGCUGAGGUGCGAAAGCGUGGGGAGCAAACAGG